rnacentral:rRNA from 1 species
CCUACGGGAGGCAGCAGUGAGGCAUAUUGGUCAAUGGACGAGAGUCUGAACCAGCCAAGUAGCGUGAAGGAUGACUGCCCUAUGGGUUGUAAACUUCUUUUAUAUGGGAAUAAAACAGGGUAUGCAUACCCUCUUGUAUGUACCAUAUGAAUAAGGAUCGGCUAACUCCGUGCCAGCAGCCGCGGUAAUACGGAGGAUCCGAGCGUUAUCCGGAUUUAUUGGGUUUAAAGGGAGCUUAGGUGGAUUGUUAAGUCAGUUGUGAAAGUUUGCGGCUCAACCGUAAAAUUGCAGUUGAAACUGGCAGUCGUGAGUACAGUAGAGGUGGGCGGAAUUCGUGGUGUAGCGGUGAAAUGCUUAGAUAUCACGAAGAACUCCGAUUGCGAAGGCAGCUCACUGGACUGCAACUGACACUGAUGCUCGAAAGUGUGGGUAUCAAACAGGAUUAGAUACCCGGGUAGUC